rnacentral:rRNA from 1 species
UACGUAGGGUGCAAGCGUUGUCCGGAAUCAUUGGGCGUAAAGAGCGUGCAGGCGGCUCGAUAAGUCCGCUGUGAAAGUCCAGGGCUCAACCCUGGAAGGCCGGUGGAAACUGUCGGGCUAGAGUCCGGAAGAGGCGAGUGGAAUUCCCGGUGUAGCGGUGAAAUGCGCAGAUAUCGGGAGGAACACCAAUGGCGAAGGCAGCUCGCUGGGACGGUACUGACGCUGAGACGCGAAAGCGUGGGGAGCAAACAGG